UACGUAGGUGGCAAGCGUUGUCCGGAUUUACUGGGCGUAAAGAGCGCGCAGGCGGUCGUUCAAGUCGCGUGUGAAAGCCCCCGGCUCAACUGGGGAGGGUCACGCGAUACUGAUCGACUCGAAGGCAGGAGAGGGAAGUGGAGUUCCCGGUGUAGUGGUGAAAUUCGUAGAUAUCGGGAGGAACACCGGUGGCGAAGGCGGCGACCUGGGUCGACACUGACGCUGAGGCGCGAAAGCGUGGGGAGCAAACAGG
rnacentral:rRNA from 1 species